rnacentral:rRNA from 1 species
AUUGAACGCUGGCGGCAGGCCUAACACAUUCAAGUCGAGCGGAGCGGCGGACGGGUGAGUAAUGCCUAGGAAUCUGCCUGGUCGUGGGGGAUAACGUCCGGAAACGGGCGCUAAUACCGCAUACUAUCAGAUGAGCCUAGGUCGGAUUAGCUAGUUGGUGGGGUAAAGGCCUACCAAGGCGACGAUCCGUAACUGGUCUGAGAGGAUGAUCAGUCACACUGGAACUGAGACACGGUCCAGACUCCUACGUGAGGCAGCAGGGGGGAAUAUUGGACAAGGGGCGAAAGCCUGAUCCAGCCAUGCCGCGUGUGUGAAGAAGGCCUUAGGGUUGUAAAGUACUUUCAGCGGGGAGGCGUUACCCGCAGAAGAAGCACCGGCUAACUCCGUGCCAGAGCCGCGGUAAUUC